AUCAGAGGAACUUAAAACGGAUGCCAAUACGUCAUAGACAAGUAAAUAACCCAGCUGCGCCAGCGCGCAAUUUAAGAAGGAGAGGGCCUCAACUGGACGGGGAAGAAUAACCUCCACAAAGACGUCAGCGCAAUGACCACAAUGUUGAAGUUCAACAAGAUUUGAAUAUGCCAAAUUCUGUGCCUAAUAAAGGCAACAGUAGUAUACUGUGAUAAUCAAGACAAUGGCAUUCAAGUUGUAGUACAUGUACCCCAGCCAAUAGAUUAUAUUUGCAGUCUUUACCAAAUCGUCAUGGCUUUGAAGAAUAAUAUUUUGAUACAUUAUGACAUUUGAUGGAUGUUGCUGUGAUCCAACAUGUAUGAACAAUCAAUGUGUAUGGCGGAAUUUAUCUUAUUUAGGUGCUGGAAGCCCAGUUACCACCUCUUAAGUGGUGGUUGCCCUUUACUGAAUCAAUGAAAAAUAUAAUUACAUUCUUCGGCCUCUUGAAAAUCUGAUUGUUGUUAUGACGUUGUAAAAUUAAAGCCAUGAUAAAUUCGCCAAUUCUAAA